AGGCAUAUCCAUUUUGACAAAAUAUUUUUAUUCUUAUUUCUUAAAAAAUGAGAUUAUGCAUUUGGCAACAGCGUAUUUUUUCGUUGGCAACUGUUUUCCAGCGACAGGAUUAGGGAAUGAUGGCGAGGCUGGUUCGUCGAUGGGUUUAGACGGAGAUAGAGAAAGGGCGACGGGAAAGGGGAGAGGGAGACGACGGUAUAGCGGCGAGACUGAUUCGCCGGUGGAUAUAUUCGCUGGUUGGUGGACUGAUUGCGCGAGAAAGGUAAAAAGGAGAGGUCGCUGGCGUUAUUGUUGGUGGUUACUGGUUUUGGGGUGACGAGAAAAGGGGAACGGUGAUGUGGCAAUGGUCACCGGGAAAGGGAGAAGGACGACAGCCAUGGAGCUUUACUGGUGGAUCUGAAUGGGAAAAGGGGAAGGGGAGAUCGACGCGAUGACGCCGUCAUUCUGUUGNN
rnacentral:lncRNA from 1 species